GGACCAUCAUGUCGGUCGUGCCUCGGUACGUACUGGUAUUGUUGGUUUCUCCCUUCUGACGAACCAUGAUGUCAUUUAUUUAGCGUGGUGGGAAACCAGGACCUUUACCUUGAAAAAAUUAGAGUGUUCAAAGCAGGCUUACGUCUGAAUACAUUAGCAUGGAAUAAUAGAAUAGGACGGUGGUCCUGUUUUGUUGGUUUCUGAAUCACCGUA
rnacentral:rRNA from 1 species